rnacentral:lncRNA from 1 species
AGCUAAUUCUUACUAUGUUAAAAGCUUCUGUUCUUUUGUCCCCUCCUCAUUACUAAAAAAAAAUGCAUUCAAACAUGCAAAUUAAAAUACCAAAUAUGAUUUCGUUUCUUUAAGCAUUUCUUAAAAAAAAAAAACUUACCCUGAUGUGCUGGUUCCAUGUCCAAACCUAUGAGAAAAGUACUUCCUUACUAGAGUGAUGUUUCUUAAGGUAUUCCUCCCCUAAACAUACUUCAUGUGCUUAGAAGUAUCACACAUGUACUAAAAAUAAUUGGCUUCUAAUGUCUUGUACUAAACAAUGCUGUUGAUGUAAUUCUG